rnacentral:rRNA from 1 species
UACGGAGGGGGCUAGCGUUGUUCGGAAUCACUGGGCGUAAAGCGUACGUAGGCGGAUUGCCAAGUUGGAGGUGAAAGCCCAGGGCUUAACCCUGGAACUGCCUUCAAAACUGGCGAUCUAGAGGAUGGUAGAGGUGAGUGGAAUUCCGAGUGUAGAGGUGAAAUUCGUAGAUAUUCGGAAGAACACCAGUGGCGAAGGCGGCUCACUGGACCAUUACUGACGCUGAGGUACGAAAGCGUGGGGAGCAAACAGG